GUUUCCGUAGCACAGUGGUAGUGCAUCGUACUUAUGGGUAACCACAAAUUGGCAUGCGAGGGUCACGAGUUCAAUCCUCGUCGGAAACA
rfam:Calocera cornea HHB12733 unplaced genomic scaffold CALCOscaffold_9, whole genome shotgun sequence.